GAGGAAUCUUGCGCAAUGGGGGAAACCCUGACGCAGCCACGCCGCGUGGGUGAAGAAGGCCUUCGGGUUGUAAAGCCCUGUCAGGUGGGAAGAAGUGCAUGUCGUUUAAUAGACGGCAUGUUUGACGGUACCACCAAAGGAAGCACCGGCUAACUCCGUGCCAGCAGCCGCGGUAAUACGGAGGGUGCAAGCGUUGUUCGGAAUUACUGGGCGUAAAGAGUGUGUAGGCGGCCAUAUAAGUCGGAUGUGAAAGCCCUGGGCUUAACCCAGGAAGUGCAUCCGAUACUGCAUGGCUUGAGUCCCGGAGAGGGUUGUGGAAUUCCCGGUGUAGAGGUGAAAUUCGUAGAUAUCGGGAGGAACACCAGUGGCGAAGGCGACAACCUGGACGAGGACUGACGCUGAGACACGAAAGCGUGGGGAGCAAAC
rnacentral:rRNA from 1 species